AUACAAGAUGAGGUAAAAAAGAAGACAAGGCCAAAUAAAGCAGGAUAGUAAAAUCCAUGGUGGGAAUCUGAAUUUUUUUCUAAGUGUGAUAUAUUCUAACCAGAGAGUAAUAUAUCUUUUUUUUUUUUUUUUUUGGUACCGGGAUCGAACUCGGGACCUUGUGCUUGCAAGGCAGGCGGUGGAGCCACUGAGCUAAAUCCCCGGCCGGAGAGCGAUAUAUCUUUGUAUUCUAUAGGAAUCAUCCAGGCUCUAUGUAAAGAAUGGUCAGCUGUGCCCAGCUUCCUUCCAGCCAUAAUCUGACUCAGGGUAUGGCCUUUAUGAGAAAUCAGGGGCUUUGAGAAACUCUCCUUUCAUGUGUCAGUGGUCAGCUUCAGCAAAAGGAAAGCCAAGGGGGUGUGGUUGCUCCCUGCUGUUUAGACUCUUCAGCCAUCAGAUCUGUACCUUCAGGUAGGAGACUGUGUUCUGGAGAAUUUUACAGUUGUUCCUUGGUCUUUGGUUUUAUUCACUUUUUAUCUAAUCUAUUUUAUUUAUAGCUGAAACUUUUCUAAGUUUGUGCUUUGUGGAUAAU
rnacentral:lncRNA from 1 species